AAAAGAGAAGAUGAGAGAGGAAGAGGAGGAGGAGGAGGCUGCUGGGCUUUUCUCACAUUAACGGACCGGUUCGGGUUCUAGUUCUGCAGCGCUGCAACACAGAGGAACCUUAAAGAGGCUCUGACCCAGAUGUUCUGAGUGUUUCCUGCAGGGGGGAAAUAACCAUCUGCCAGGAUGAGAGUCUGGACACUGAGGACUCUGUGUUGACCCCGAGCGGCAGCUUCCACUGCUGAGAGAGGAAGCCAACGCAGAAGUGCCAAAAAGUUCUUCAAAUGUCCACUUGAGGCUGACUAACUCUAAGAAGCAGAUAACCUGCUGGUUCGACAUUUCUCACCUCCCUGCUGUGCCAUGCCAACUGCACACACUGUAAACAAUCUCUGUUAAUUUACAGCAGGCUUUCAACAGUAUUAACCUGUUAUUGCUAAAAACAGUGCUUUGCUGUUAAUACAAAAGAAAACCUGUUAAAUUAAUUAUAUUAUAAUUAUAAUGCAUUCUUAAAAAACAGCACUUUCCUGCUGAUCAGCUGUCUAAAGUCUCAUCAGUAACAGCUUCAUGCAGUAGUUGUUGAGUUCUGGGACCUGAUCUGCUCAUGUGAGGCUUGUUCAUUGUACAUGAUUGUAAAAUAUAAUAAUAAUAAUAUAUAAUAUAUAUAAUAUA